rnacentral:rRNA from 1 species
AUUGAACGCUGGCGGCAUGCCUUACACAUGCAAGUCGAACGGUAACAGGUCUCCGGAUGCUGACGAGUGGCGAACGGGUGAGUAAUACAUCGGAACGUGCCUAGUAGUGGGGGAUAACUACUCGAAAGAGUGGCUAAUACCGCAUGAGAUCUACGGAUGAAAGCAGGGGAUCGCAAGACCUUGUGCUACUAGAGCGGCCGAUGGCAGAUUAGGUAGUUGGUGGGAUAAAAGCUUACCAAGCCGACGAUCUGUAGCUGGUCUGAGAGGACGAUCAGCCACACUGGGACUGAGACACGGCCCAGACUCCUACGGGAGGCAGCAGUGGGGAAUUUUGGACAAUGGGCGCAAGCCUGAUCCAGCAAUGCCGCGUGCAGGAUGAAGGCCUUCGGGUUGUAAACCGCUUUUGUACGGAACGAAAAGCCCCGGGUUAAUACCCUGGGGUCAUGACGGUACCGUAAGAAUAAGCACCGGCUAACUACGUGCCAGCAGCCGCCGUAA